rnacentral:rRNA from 1 species
CUGGGUGGAUUAGUGGCGAACGGGUGAGUAACACGUGAGUAACCUGCCCUUCACUCUGGGAUAACUCCGGGAAACCGGUGCUAAUACUGGAUAUGACUCCAACCUGCAUGGGUAUGGGGUGGAAAGAUUUAUCGGUGGAGGAUGGACUCGCGGCCUAUCAGCUUGUUGGUGGGGUAAUGGCCUACCAAGGCGACGACGGGUAGCCGGCCUGAGAGGGUGACCGGCCACACUGGGACUGAGACACGGCCCNAGACUCCUACGGGAGGCAGCAGUGGGGAAUAUUGCACAAUGGGCGAAAGCCUGAUGCAGCGACGCCGCGUGAGGGAUGACGGCCUUCGGGUUGUAAACCUCUUUCAGCUCUGACGAAGCCUUCGGGUGACGGUAGGAGCAGAAGAAGCACCGGCUAACUACGUGCCAGCAGCCGCGGUAAUACGUAGGGUGCGAGCGUUGUCCGGAAUUAUUGGGCGUAAAGAGCUUGUAGGCGGUUUGUCGCGUCUGCUGUGAAAGCCCGGGGCUUAACCCCGGGUCUGCAGUGGGUACGGGCAGGCUAGAGUGUGGUAGGGGAGACUGGAAUUCCUGGUGUAGCGGUGGAAUGCGCAGAUAUCAGGAGGAACACCGAUGGCGAAGGCAGGUCUCUGGGCCACUACUGACGCUGAGAAGCGAAAGCGUGGGGAGCGAACAGGAUUAGAUACCCUGGUAGUCCACGCCGUAAACGUUGGGCGCUAGGUGUGGGUCCCAUUCCACGGKGUCCGUGCCGCAGCUAACGCAUUAAGCGCCCCGCCUGGGGAGUACGGCCGCAAGGCUAAAACUCAAAGGAAUUGACGGGGGNCCCGCWCAAGCGGCGGAGCAUGCGGAUUAAUUCGAUGCAACGCGAAGAACCUUACCAAGGCUUGACAUGUACCGGAAACUCCCAGNAGAUGGGNGGCCCCGCAARGUNCGGUACACAGGUGGUGCAUGGUUGUCGUCAGCUCGUGUCGUGAGAUGUUGGGUUAAGUCCCGCAACGAGCGCAACCCUCGUUCUAUGUUGCCAGCACGUGAUGGUGGGGACUCAUAGGAGACUGCCGGGGUCAACUCGGAGGAAGGUGGGGAUGACGUCAAAUCAUCAUGCCCCUUACGUCUUGGGCUUCACGCAUGCUACAAUGGCCGGUACAGAGGGCUGCGAAACCGUGAGGUGGAGCGAAUCCCUUAAAGCUGGUCUCAGUUCGGAUUGGGGUCUGCAACUCGACCCCAUGAAGUCGGAGUCGCUAGUAAUCGCAGAUCAGCAACGCUGCGGUGAAUACGUUCCCGGGCCUUGUACACACCGCCCGUCAAGUCACGAAAGUCGGUAACACCCGAAGCCGGU